GGACGAACGCUGGCGGCGUGCCUAAUACAUGCAAGUAGAACGCUGAAGGAGGAGCUUGCUUCUCUGGAUGAGUUGCGAACGGGUGAGUAACGCGUAGGUAACCUGCCUGGUAGCGGGGGAUAACUAUUGGAAACGAUAGCUAAUACCGCAUAAUAGUAGAUGUUGCAUGACAUUUGCUUAAAAGGUGCAAUUGCAUCACUACCAGAUGGACCUGCGUUGUAUUAGCUAGUUGGUGAGGUAACGGCUCACCAAGGCAACGAUACAUAGCCGACCUGAGAGGGUGAUCGGCCACACUGGGACUGAGACACGGCCCAGACUCCUACGGGAGGCAGCAGUAGGGAAUCUUCGGCAAUGGACGGAAGUCUGACCGAGCAACGCCGCGUGAGUGAAGAAGGUUUUCGGAUCGUAAAGCUCUGUUGUAAGAGAAGAACGAGUGUGAGAGUGGAAAGUUCACACUGUGACGGUAUCUUACCAGAAAGGGACGGCUAACUACGUG
rnacentral:rRNA from 1 species